rnacentral:rRNA from 1 species
AUACGGAGGAUCCGAGCGUUAUCCGGAUUUAUUAGGUUUAAAGGGUGCGCAGGCGGAACUGUAAGUCACCGGUGAAAUCCUACAGCUUAACUGUAGAACUGCCGGUGAUACUGCGAUUCUUGAGUAUAGUUGAGGUAGGCGGAAUGUGUAGUGUAGCGGUGAAAUGCAUAGAUAUUACACAGAACACCGAUUGCGAAGGCAGCUUACUAAACUAUUACUGACGCUCAUGCACGAAAGCGUGGGGAGCGAACAGGAUUAGAUACCCCAGUAGUCC